AGGGAAGUAGCUGUUGUGUAGGGCUGAGCGGUGUCGUAGGGCGGUGGUGGCAUCUGUUGGUCUGUGUUUCUUUCGCGCUCAUGGGACACUGAGGGGAGCUGUCACCUAAACGAGAAGAACGAACCGGUGAGGCCAAGCCCAUCGUAUUUUUAAACAUGUUGAAUCUCGUGUGUUACAGCCUGUGAUCCAAUGAGAAUAAUUCAUAGAAAAGCAGAAAUGAAUCAAUAAACUGAUGAAUCAAUAAACCAGA